rnacentral:rRNA from 1 species
UGGAUCCAGACUUUGAUCUGGCUCAGGACGAACGCUGGCGGCGCGCCUAACACAUGCAAGUCGAACGGAGAUUACAGGCGGAAGUUUUCGGAUGGAAGCUUGUAAACUUAGUGGCGGACGGGUGAGUAACACGUGAGCAACCUGCCUAUCAGAGGGGGAUAACGAUUGGAAACGAUCGCUAAUACCGCAUGACAUAGCGGAACCGCAUGGUUCUGUUGUCAAAGAUUUUAUCGCUGAUAGAUGGGCUCGCGUCCGAUUAGAUAGUUGGUGGGGUAACGGCCUACCAAGUCGACGAUCGGUAGCCGGACUGAGAGGUCGAACGGCCACAUUGGGACUGAGACACGGCCCAGACUCCUACGGGAGGCAGCAGUGGGGGAUAUUGCACAAUGGGGGAAACCCUGAUGCAGCGACGCCGCGUGAGGGAAGACGGUCCUCUGGAUUGUAAACCUCUGUCUUCGGGGACGAAACGAGACGGUACCCGAGGAGGAAGCCACGGCUAACUACGUGCCAGCAGCCGCGGUAAUACGUAGGUGGCAAGCGUUGUCCGGAAUUACUGGGUGUAAAGGGAGCGUAGGCGGGCAGGCAAGUCGGGCGUGAAAUAUAUCGGCUCAACCGGUAACGGCGCUUGAAACUGCAGGUCUUGAGUGAAGUAGAGGUUGGCGGAAUUCCUAGUGUAGCGGUGAAAUGCGUAGAUAUUAGGAGGAACACCAGUGGCGAAGGCGGCCAACUGGGCUUUUACUGACGCUGAGGCUCGAAAGUGUGGGGAGCAAACAGGAUUAGAUACCCUGGUAGUCCACACCGUAAACGAUGAUUACUAGGUGUGGGGGGACUGACCCCUUCCGUGCCGGAGUUAACACAAUAAGUAAUCCACCUGGGGAGUACGGCCGCAAGGUUGCAACUCAAAUGAAUUGACGGA